UCUCCGUUGGUGAACCAGCGGAGGGAUCAUCACUAGAAUCGCAAGAUCCCACAACUCCUGUGCACCUACCGAAACGUUGCCUCGGCGUGCCGCCUGCCCCUCACCGUGCGCUUAUACCGCGAGGUGGCCCCUACACUUAUCUCUGCAUCCUUGCCUGUCACAGUACCAAAAAACAAGUAAAAACUUUUAACAACGGAUAUCUUGCGUCUAGCAUCGAUAAAAAACUUACUAGGUCUGAAGAGGAAACCUUCGGACUUCACUCAGUUGUUAAUC
rnacentral:misc_RNA from 1 species